rnacentral:rRNA from 1 species
UUCGGACCUCGUGCUAUUAGAUGAGUCCGCGUCGGAGUUAGCUUGUUGGUGAGGUAAUAGGCGUCACCAAGGCGACGAUCCGUAGCUGGUCUGAGAGGAUGACCAGCCACACUGGAACUGAGAACACGGUCCAGACUCCUACGGGAGGCAGCAGUGGGGAAUAUUGCACAAUGGGCGCAAGCCUGAUGCAGCCAUGCCGCGUGUGUGAAGAAGGCCUUAGGGUUGUAAAGCACUUUCAGCAGUGAGGAAAGGGGUGUCGUUAAUAGCGCCAUCCUGUGACGUUAACUGCAGAAGAAGGACCGGCUAACUCCGUG